GUGGGGAAUCUUGCGCAAUGGGCGAAAGCCUGACGCAGCCAUGCCGCGUGAAUGAUGAAGGUCUUAGGAUUGUAAAAUUCUUUCACCGGGGACGAUAAUGACGGUACCCGGAGAAGAAGCUCCGGCUAACUUCGUGCCAGCAGACGCGGUAAUACGAAGGGGGCUAGCGUUGCUAGGAAUUACUGGGCGUAACGGGCGCGUAGGCGGACAGCUUAGUCAGAGGUGAAAGCCGAGGGCUCAACCUUGGAAUUGCCUUUGAUACUGGCUGUCUUGAGUUUGGGAGAGGUGAGUGGAACUCCGAGUGUAGAGGUGAAAUUCGUAGAUAUUCGGAAGAACACCAGUGGCGAAGGCGACUCACUGGCCCAAUACUGACGCUGAGGCGCGAAAGCGUGGGGAGCAAACAGGAGUAGAAACCCUGGUAGUCC
rnacentral:rRNA from 1 species